rnacentral:rRNA from 1 species
GACGUAGGGGGCGAGCGUUGUCCGGAUUUAUUGGGCGUAAAGAGCUCGUAGGCGGCUCAGAAAGUCGGGUGUGAAACCUCCAGGCUCAACCUGGAGACGCCACCUGAUACUGCUGUGGCUAGAGUCCGGUAGGGGAGCACGGAAUUCCCGGUGUAGCGGUGAAAUGCUUAGAUAUCGGGAGGAACACCAGUGGCGAAGGCGGUGCUCUGGGCCGGAACUGACGCUGAGGAGCGAAAGCGUGGGUAGCAAACAGG